AGUGAACGCUGGCGGUAGGCCUAACACAUGCAAGUCGAACGGCAGCACAGUAAGAGCUUGCUCUUACGGGUGGCGAGUGGCGGACGGGUGAGGAAUACAUCGGAAUCUACUUUUUCGUGGGGGCUAACGUAGGGAAACUUACGCUAAUACCGCAUACGACCUACGGGUGAAAGCAGGGGAUCUUCUGACCUUGCGCGAUUGAAUGAGCCGAUGUCGGAUUAGCUAGUUGGCGGGGUAAAGGCCCACAAAGGCGACGAUCCGUAGCUGGUCUGAGAGGAUGGUCAGACACACGGGAACUGAGACACGGUCCAGACUCCUACGGGAGGCAGCAGUGGGGAAUAUUGGACAAUGGGCGCAAGCCUGAUCCAGCCAUACCGCGUGGGUGAAGAAGGCCUUCGGGUUGUAAAGCCAUUUUGUUGGGAAAGAAAAGCAGCAGGUUAAUACCCCGCUGUUCUGACGGUACCCAAAGAAUAAGCACCGGCUAACUUCGUG
rnacentral:rRNA from 1 species